GAAACCGAGUCUGAAUAGGGCGAAUUAGUAUCAUGACGUAGACCCGAAACCAUGUGACCUACCCAUGAGCAGGUUGAAGGUGCGGUAAGACGCACUGGAGGACCGAACCAGGGCACGUUAAAAAGUGCUUGGAUGACUUGUGGGUAGCGGAGAAAUUCCAAACGAACUUGGAGAUAGCUGGUUCUCUCCGAAAUAGCUUUAGGGCUAGCCUCGGAUGAUGAAUAUUGGAGGUAGAGCACUGUUUGAUCUAGGGGUCCAUCUAGGAUUACCGAAAUCUGAUAAACUCCGAAUGCCAAAUAUUUUAAUCCGGGAGUCAAACUGCGAGUGAUAAGAUCCGUAGUUGAAAGGGAAACAGCCCAGACCACCAGCUAAGGUCCCAAAGUUUCAGUUAAGUGGAAAAGGAUGUGGGGUUGCACAGACAACUAGGAUGUUAGCUUAGAAGCAGCUAUUCAUUCAAAGAGUGCGUAAUAGCUCACUAGUCGAGUGACCCUGCGCCGAAAAUGUACCGGGGCUAAACAUAUUACCGAAGCUGUGGAUACCUUUAUAGGUAUGGUAGGAGAGCGUUCUAUGUGUGAAGAAGGUGUACCGUGAGGAGUGCUGGAACGCAUAGAAGUGAGAAUGCCGGUAUGAGUAGCGAAAGACAGGUGAGAAUCCUGUCCACCGUAAGACUAAGGUUUCCAGGGGAAGGCUCGUCCGCCCUGGGUUAGUCGGGACCUAAGGAGAGACCGAAAGGUGUAUCCGAUGGACAACAGGUUGAUAUUCCUGUACUAGAGUAUGUAGUGAUGGAGGGACGCAGU
rnacentral:rRNA from 1 species